AAACUACAAAUGAAGUUGACGGGGCCCGCACAAGCGGUGGAGCAUGUGGUUUAAUUCGAAGCAACGACGAAGAACCUUACCAGGUCUUGACAUCCCUGACAACCCAAGAGAUUGGGCGUUCCCCUUCGGGGGACAGGGUGACAGGUGGUGCAUGGUUGUCGUCAGCUCGUGUCGUGAGAUGUUGGGUUAAGUCCCGCAACGAGCGCAACCCUCGACCUUAGUUGCCAGCAUUCAGUUGGGCACUCUAAGGUGACUGCCGGCUAAAAGUCGGAGGAAGGUGGGGAUGACGUCAAAUCAUCAUGCCCCUUAUGACCUGGGCUACACACGUGCUACAAUGGGCGGUACAAAGGGUCGCGAACCCGCGAGGGGGAGCCAAUCCCAAAAAGCCGCUCUCAGUUCGGAUUGCAGGCUGCAACUCGCCUGCAUGAAGCCGGAAUCGCUAGUAAUCGCGGAUCAGCAUGCCGCGGUCGAAUACGUUCCCGGGCCUU
rnacentral:rRNA from 1 species